rnacentral:rRNA from 1 species
GAUGAACGCUGGCGGCGUGCCUAAUACAUGCAAGUCGAGCGGACGGGCGAUGAGCUUGCUUCUCUGUUGUUAGCCGAGGGCGGGUGAGUAACACGUGUAAACCCCACCUAUAUGAGUGGGAUAAUUUCGGGAAAGCGGAGCUAAUACCGGAGGAUAUUUUGCACCGUAGGGUUGGAAAGUGAAAGACGGUCUUUCUGUAUCUUAUAGAUGGAUAUGCGCUGCAUGAGCUAGUUGGUAAGGUAACGGCUUAUCAAGGCAACGAUGCGUAGCCGACCUGUGUGGGGGGUCGGCCACACUGGAGGUGAGCCACGGUCCAUAGUCCUACGGGAGGCAGCAGUAUGGAACCGGCCGCAAUGGGCGAAAGUAUGACGGAGCGACGGCGCGUGAGUUAUGAAGGUCUUCGGAUCGGGAUACUCUGUUAUUAGGGAAGAACAUAUUUGUAAGGAACUGUGCAGAUCUUGACGGUAACGAAUCAAAAAGCCACGGCUAACUACGUG